AUUUUGACUGUGCAAAGGUAGCAUAAUCAUUAGUCUUUUAAUUGAGGACUGGUAUGAAUGGUUUAACGAAGUAUUAACUGUCUCAUUUUAAUAAAUUGAAUUUAACUUUUGAGUCAAAAGGCUUAAAUGAAAUUAGAGGACGAGAAGACCCUAUAGAGCUUUAUAAAUUGAAUAUUAAAUUGGAUUUGGAAGUUUUGUUUAAUUUAAAUAGAAAAUUUAUUUUAUUGGGGUGAUAUAAAGAUUUAAUAAACUCUUUAUAAUAAUUAAACCCUAAUAAGUGAAUAAUUGAUCCAUUUUUAGUGAUUAUAAGAUUAAGUUACCUUAGGGAUAACAGCGUAAUGUUUUUUGAGAGUUCUUAUCAACAAAAAAGAUUGCGACCUCGAUGUUGGAUUAAGGAAAAAGUUGGG
rnacentral:rRNA from 1 species